rnacentral:rRNA from 1 species
ACGCACGCUGGCGGCGUGCUUAACACCUGCCAGUCGAACGGAAAGGCCCUGCUUUUGUGGGGUGCUCGAGUGGCGAACGGGUGAGUAACACGUGAGUAACCUGCCCUUGACUUUGGGAUAACUUCAGGAAACUGGGGCUAAUACCGGAUAGGAGCUCCUGCUGCAUGGUGGGGGUUGGAAAGUUUCGGCGGUUGGGGAUGGACUCGCGGCUUAUCAGCUUGUUGGUGGGGUAGUGGCUUACCAAGGCUUUGACGGGUAGCCGGCCUGAGAGGGUGACCGGCCACAUUGGGACUGAGAUACGGCCCAGACUCCUACGGGAGGCAGCAGUGGGGAAUUUUGCACAAUGGGCGGAAGCCUGAUGCAGCAACGCCGCGUGCGGGAUGACGGCCUUCGGGUUGUAAACCGCUUUCGCCUGUGACGAAGCGUGAGUGACGGUAAUGGGUAAAGAAGCACCGGCUAACUACGUG